UGCGUAGGCGGGCUAAUAAGUCAGUGGUGAAAUCUCUCGGCUCAACCGGGAAACUGCCAUUGAUACUGUUAGUCUUGAGUUCGGUUGAGGUAGGCGGAAUGUGUAAUGUAGCGGUGAAAUGCUUAGAUAUUACACAGAACACCAAUUGCGUAGGCAGCUUACUAGACCGACACUGACGCUGAGGCACGAAAGCGUGGGGAGCGAACAGGAUAGAUACCCUGGUAGUCC
rnacentral:rRNA from 1 species